UACGGAGGAUCCGAGCGUUAUCCGGAUUUAUUGGGUUUAAAGGGUGCGUAGGCGGCCUUUUAAGUCAGGAGUGAAAUACGUCAGCUCAACUGGCGCAGUGCUCUUGAUACUGAUGGGCUUGAAUGCAGCUGAAGUGGGCGGAACAAGACAAGUAGCGGUGAAAUGCAUAGAUAUGUCUUAGAACCCCGAUUGCGAAGGCAGCUCACUAACCUGCAAUUGACGCUGAUGCACGAAAGCGUGGGGAUCGAACAGG
rnacentral:rRNA from 1 species